rnacentral:lncRNA from 1 species
UCACAACCAACCAAUCUAUUUGUCCAUAAACACCAAAUUCAUGAAGAUUUUUGUGAUGAUUCGUGAAGAUUUUGUGUUGUUUGAUUUCGAAGAUGAGAGUACAUGUCUUAACAGUCCAAUCUUCCGUUCUUAUAACUUCAAUUUCGGUCAGUCCAUCACCGGUCCUUAUGGUUUCAUGAACUAGAAACCCUUUCUUCUUCUUCGACCUUAUCGUUGUUCUCUAUUUAUCACAAUUUGGAAAUCCAUUGUAUGUUGGCAUGACAUGCAAGCGUUGACCGAGUUAAAAUUGAGUAAAAUGAUGACUAUUGCAAAGGGGCAAAAACAUAAGGGUCUAAAUUUGUC